CAAUUUCCAUAAGGUGAAUACAGAAAGGAACUACAAGCAUUGGAAAUGAAUGGGGGAGUUUAAUUCAGCCGCGUUUCACUCCCACUGAGGAGGCAUACAGAUGGCUGCACAGAACUCAGCAAAAACAGAGCCAGGAGUCAGGGAGAGGGAGACUUCAACUGGGGUUUCGAGUGGAGUUGCUCAUUUAUUUCCCCCUGUAUCAGUCUGCCUCCUGGGAUAUCGCAUGGACAGGUACAGGCAAACAGUUCCAAAUAAGGGAAUGCAUGCUGUGCGAGUGUAAUGCUCUGCUUUCCUUAGUGGCAUGUUUUCAGCAAGUUUGCCAUGUGCUACAGCUGGCCUAGGCAGGAUUUUGCAAAAGGAAAGAAGAAUAUUCACACUAAGGUCCCUGAAGCCACACUUCUGCAAACUAGCAGCUACCAAAAAGUGCAUAGCUAAUCCAGUGUGUACACAAGUGGAAGUGCUUAAGGCAAUGGUUCAACCUUAAAAGGAACUCCUAUCUGCAAUUGGUGACUGCCUGAGAAGGAUUUUUCUCCUGCCAAUAAUUGUUGUUCACCUGUGACCCCUUUUUGUUCACAGCUCUGUCCUUAUGCAUCCAGUCUGCGCUGUCCUGACCCCAGAGGCACUGGGAAGCCACUUAGUAGAUGUCAACUGCAAUAGGAAAUGGUCAGCUCUGUUCCUGAUCACCGCUAAGCAUCUGGAACCAGGUCCAUCCAUAGGAGAACCCAGAGCUGGCUGACAACAUUUUGGCAUUCUUUUUUAAUUAACUUCUGGAAG
ensembl:lncRNA